UCGUUGUGUGAUGUGAUUUAGAAUUUAAGUUUGCUGGCAGACCCUAGCUUCUUAUCAUUCCAGGACUCAAUCAAUUGAGAUGAGGUUGAUAGGACGCUGGGCUCACUGUAAUUCGCAAGAAUUGCAGAGAUGUUCAGCAGAACCUUGACAACUGCAUAGGUAAGUCUGGAAAGAAUAAAGCAUCUCAUGGAUGCAUGAUUCUUGGGAAUCAGCUGAUGCAAUCUGCGCGAGCAGAGAGCUGAGGUUGAUCAACGAGAAUGAUGUUUGAUUCUUGAGUCAAGAGCCGAGACUCUAUAGCGUUCUUUCGAUGUCAUCGAGUCAUCGAGAGUUUGAUUGGUGAUUCAAACCAUCUUCAAUGACAAACAAUUCAGUUUAACU
rnacentral:misc_RNA from 1 species